UACGAAGGUGGCGAGCGUUACUCGGAAUCACUAGGCGUAAAGCGUGUGUAGGUGGUUUGAUAAGUCUAUGGUGAAAUCUCUCGGCUUAACCGGGAGGCGUACAUAGAAACUAUCAGGCUUGAGUGUGGGAGGGGAAGACGGAAUUCCUGGUGUAGCGGUGAAAUGCGUAGAUAUCAGGAGGAACACCGAUGGCGAAAGCGGUCUUCUGGCCCAAUACUGACACUGAGAUACGAAAGCUAGGGGAGCAAACAGGAUUAGAUACCCUGGUAGUCCUAGCCUUAAACGAUGUUCACUAGAUGUGGGAGGUAUCGACCCCUUCCGCGUCGACGCUAACGCAUUAAGUGAACCGCCUGGGGAGUACGGCCGCAAGGUUGAA
rnacentral:rRNA from 1 species